CUGGUAGAGGAGCCUCAGUUUGAACAGACAAUUAUGGUGUGAUGGUUGUGUUCAGAGCAUAUUAAUGUGCAGAGGAGAAGCUGUAGCAAGGAGACAACAGUGAAGACUUCAUAGAAGAUGAGGUUAGAGUAAAUCUUGAAAAGUGGGUAAGAUUUACCGGAUGAGAAAAGAGAAGGGCAGUACUUCUGAUGGAUAUGGCAUAAGAACACAAUAAUGUUAGACUGGGGGCUGGUGAUAUAGCUCAAUGGAACAGCACCUGCCUGCAAUUGAAAAGGGACCUCAGAUGACCACUUCGUGACUUCUUGCAAUCAAGUGUGGAUAUUCCAGAAGGCAACCAGAGCUUUGCUAAGUUUACCGGGCUGGACUGGACCUUUCCACCUUACUGCUUCCACUUCCCAGAGUUCUGGGAUUACAGAGCCGAGGAUUGAACUCAAGCCCUUGUGCUUG